rnacentral:rRNA from 1 species
AGAGCGAACGCUGGCGGCAGGCCUAACACAUGCAAGUCGAGCGGCCGUAGCAAUACGGCAGCGGCAGACGGGAGAGUAACACGUGGGAACGCGCCCUUCGGUUCGGAAUAACUCAGGGAAACUUGGGCUAAUACCGGAUACGCCCUUACGGGGAAAGAUUUAUUGCCGAAGGAACGGCCCGCGUCCGAUUAGCUUGUUGGUGAGGUAACGGCUCACCAAGGCGACGAUCGGUAGCUGGUCUGAGAGGAUGACCAGCCUCACUGGGACUGAGACACGGCCCAGACUCCUACGGGAGGCAGCAGUGGGGAAUAUUGGACAAUGGGCGCAAGCCUGAUCCAGCCAUGCCGCGUGGGUGAUGAAGGCCCUAGGGUUGUAAAGCCCUUUCGGCGGGACGAAGCGAAAGUGACGUACCUGCAGAAGAAGCGCCGGCUAACUACGUGCCAGCAGCCGC